AACACUACACAGACGGUAGACAAUUUGAGAGGGAAGAAAGUCUCACGGGGUGAGAUGAGCUACCAUUUGCAUGUCCUCUUCUCGAAUUGUCUUUGUGACAUGCAGUUUUAUGAGGAGCCCGACUUUCUGCCUGGAGUCUUUGAUGUAUUGUUCUUGAAGUUGCAACAACAAACACCAGGUGUCUCCACUUAGCUGAGCUAAAGGUCCUGCAGAGGAAGGCCCCUGCACCAGGAAAAAGUUGAAACGGCCUUCCCUUUCCCCAGCGCUUUUGGCUGCUGCCUGGAUAAGCCCGGAAGGGCUGGUUGGGGCCAGGGGAGGGGAGAUCAUUCUUUGAUGAGCAUUCAGGUUGGAGCCUGUUGACUCAUAUCGGAUCUGGAAGGGAACCUGAUUUUUGAGUGGAAGUCAUGAAGACUGGGGCCCCUGGCAACACUGGUGUGCUGGGGAUGGAGUCUAGUGAACCAGGCGGCAGUGGCUGGGAUUACAUUCUUGGUCUACUCUGACAGGGACUCGCCAUCUUGGAAGGACAGAUUCCUGGAAGAGGAUGACUCGGUCAGAAUUUUUGGCAUUUCUUCAAACCUGUGGUGGAAAAAAAGUGUUAAGAUGUGUGGCACAGAUUUAAAUCACAUAAAAACUUAGGAAAGUUAAAGAUCUGUGUGGGCUGAGUGAAAAAACAAUCAGCGGAGGCUUCCUUAAGGAGGCCCCAGGGAAGCUUUGAUCCUUUGAGCAUCGGGCAUCCCGUGAUUUGACCUGCACUUUCGUAGACAUGCCCAGCAGGAGCAUGAGAAGAUUGCAGUGGUGCAGGUGAUAAAUGCUGACAGUCUGACUCUGCACAGGAAGGGGUGGAGAGGGGAGGUGAGGGGUAGAGACAUUGCAGAGGUGGAAUCUACAGGUGGAGCCUGGUUUACCAGCUCCUUGGAGCUCCACACACACACAAAGCAAGAGAAAUGGGAUUUGCCCCAUCCCAGCCUCUUUCUGUGUCCCCCAGGCAUGAGUCUCCUGAUAGUUCCUUAGUUUUCCCAUCUGUCAAGUGGGAAAAAUAAAACCAGAAUCUCAUGGCUCCCAGUGGGGUAUAGUGCUAUGUUGUGUUAUCAUGGAGAAUCCUGUGGAAAUGCAGGCUGGUUUCAUUCCUCCUGCUAAUAAAGAACUGUCAUCCUACCAGAAUACAGUACCAAGAACUUGCAUUUUCUAAGUAUCGGAAAGCAAUAGUUUGGGUUUGAGCUGUUCACUCACUUAUGAUCUGAGAUAAUUCUAAAAAGAUUUCGCAGCUUAGUCUAAUUGGGUAAUUGGGAUGUUUCCAGAUGAAAUUCGACUUGUAUUUUUAAAAAACGCUUUGAAGAACUGGUUGCCAUGGUGCUGUUCUGCUGACAAGAUCCUUCACUGGCUCCCACUAAGCAGCAAUAAUGGGCUUCUGUUUAUUCUAAGUUUCAGGUUACCCCACCUGAACAUCCUCUGGAAGGAAGCAAGGUAUA